AUUGAACGCUGGCGGCAGGCCUAACACAUGCAAGUCGAACGGUAACAGGAAUAAGCUUGCUUCUUUGCUGACGAGUGGCGGACGGUUGAUUAAUGUCUGGGAAACUGCCUGAUGUAGGGGGAUAACUACUGGAAACGUUACCUAAUACCUCAUAACGUCGCAAGACCAAAGAGGGGGACCUUCGGGCCUCUUGCCAUCGGAUGUGCCCAGAUGGGAUUAGCUAGUAGGUGGGGUAACGGCUCACCUAGGCGACGAUCCCUAGCUGGUCUGAGAGGAUGACCAGCCACACUGGAACUGAGACACGGUCCAGACUCCUACGGGAGGCAGCAGUGGGGAAUAUUGCACAAUGGGCGCAAGCCUGAUGCAGCCAUGCCGCGUGUAUGAAGAAGGCCUUCGGGUUGUAAAGUACUUUCAGAGGGGAGGAAGGGAGUAAAGUUAAUACCCUUGCUCAUUGACGUUACCCGAAGAAGAAGCACCGGCUAACUCCGUG
rnacentral:rRNA from 1 species